CUACGGAGGGUCCAAGCGUUAUCCGGAAUCAUUGGGUUUAAAGGGUUCGUAGGCGGGUCAAUAAGUCAGAGGUGAAAUCUUGCAGCUUAACUGUAAAAUUGCCUUUGAAACUGUUGACCUUGAAUUACUGUGAAGUGGUUAGAAUAUGUAGUGUAGCGGUGAAAUGCUUAGAGAUUACAUAGAAUACCGAUUGCGAAGGCAGAUCACUAACAGUAUAUUGACGCUGAUGAACGAAAGCGUGGGUAGCGAACGGGAUUAGAAACCCCAGUAGUCC
rnacentral:rRNA from 1 species